AUUGAACGCUGGCGGCAGGCCUAACACAUGCAAGUCGAGCGGAUGAAGGGAGCUUGCUCCUGGAUUCAGCGGCGGACGGGUGAGUAAUGCCUAGGAAUCUGCCUGGUAGUGGGGGAUAACGUCCGGAAACGGGCGCUAAUACCGCAUACGUCCUGAGGGAGAAAGUGGGGGAUCUUCGGACCUCACGCUAUCAGAUGAGCCUAGGUCGGAUUAGCUAGUUGGUGGGGUAAAGGCCUACCAAGCCGACGAUCCGUAACUGGUCUGAGAGGAUGAUCAGUCACACUGGAACUGAGCCACGGUCCAGACUCCUGCGGGAGGCAGCAGUGGGGAAUAGUGGACAAUGGGCGAAAGCAUGGUCCAGCCAUGCCGCGUGUGUGAAGAAGGUCUUCGGAUUGUAAAGCACUUUAAGUUGGGAGGAAGGGCAGUAAGUUAAUACCUUGCUGUUUUGACGUUACCAACAGAAUAAGCACCGGCUAACUUCGUG
rnacentral:rRNA from 1 species